CAGGACUCAGCAGGACCCUGUGUCCCCAGGGUGCUGAGCAGGUAGUGGGGACGGGAGGAGGUGUAGGUGUUGCAAUCACUUCUUGCAUCUGAGCCAAUGGGCCAUUGCUGGGACUGGAAAUAGAUGUAAUUUUAAUGCAGGAGAUAUAGGGUGAUGUGGGAUGUGUCCCAUUCCAGGUGACGUUAAUGAGGCCUGUGGACAUGACAGGAGAGAGGACACCGCAGAUUCUUCAGGACCAAGACUUGGAGACUUUGUGAAAACUGUUUUUAAAGAUGCUUUGUAUGAGCCAAGCGUUCAGGUGUGGUGCUCGGUGACGGCAGUAGUUGCUGCAGAGGGAAGUUAAAGCACUGCUGUGCUGCUUCACCGUGGAGAAAGAAUGGUGUGAGGAAAUCAGGUAAAUGUUAAAUCCAGUGGAGCUCACCCAAGGCAAAACUUGAUCAAGUGAUACAUCAGCUGGUUGAGUGAUUCCCUGGAAAAGCACAAAGAAAAUGAUGGCCCAUUUAAAUGGUCUGGACCUGCUGCAUGGAUCUCACUAUGUAAAAAAUGUA
rnacentral:lncRNA from 1 species